rnacentral:rRNA from 1 species
GAUGAACGCUGGCGGCGUGCCUAAUACAUGCAAGUCGAGCGAACAGAUAAGGAGCUUGCUCCUUUGACGUUAGCGGCGGACGGGUGAGUAACACGUGGGUAACCUACCUAUAAGACUGGGAUAACUUCGGGAAACCGGAGCUAAUACCGGAUAACAUUUGGAACCGCAUGGUUCUAAAGUGAAAGAUGGUUUUGCUAUCACUUAUAGAUGGACCCGCGCCGUAUUAGCUAGUUGGUAAGGUAACGGCUUACCAAGGCGACGAUACGUAGCCGACCUGAGAGGGUGAUCGGCCACACUGGAACUGAGGCACGGUCCAGACUCCUACGGGAGGCAGCAGUAGGGAAUCUUCCGCAAUGGGCGAAAGCCUGACGGAGCAACGCCGCGUGAGUGAUGAAGGGUUUCGGCUCGUAAAACUCUGUUAUUAGGGAAGAACAAAUGUGUAAGUAACUGUGCACGUCUUGACGGUACCUAAUCAGAAAGCCACGGCUAACUACGUGCCAGCAGCCGCAGUAA